AGGCCUCUGAGGUGUGCGCGGGGCGCCGGGCGCCUCUGGCCGGGGCACUGGCUGAGCCACGCCUGCCCGCCCCUCCCUGGCGCCGCCCGCGUGGCGCGCCUCGACCCUGCUCUCCCGCGAGGGCCGGGAGGGCUCCGGGACCUUGCAGACUCCACGCGCCUCACGGCUCCUCCAGCUCCUCGGAUCUUUCUCCUUGCGUCGCCGCCGAGUCCCCUGGGGCGGCCCCGCCUCCGGCCGUCUCCUCAGAGACCUUCCCUGGGGGGCGCCUUCCCCUCAGCGCCCCUUCCCGGGCCUCGAGCCAGCGGCUGCCGCAGGAGCUGGCCCCGGGGCGAGGAGCUUCAGAUUCAGGUCCCUAGCCGGCCUCGGUAAGGAGACUGGAAGGAUUCUCCGCGAAUGCUCAUUUUUAUUUCUGGAGUGGCGUCGGAGUUACCAAUUAGUUUUCUUAUUUUAUACUCUCUGGAGUUGCCAAAUUCUUUACGUUGAGCUUUUGCUUAUUUUAUAAUCAGAAAGACAAGUACGUUUCUUUUUCCAAGAAUGCUUACAGGAGGCCACAAACAAGAUGUUCGCACCCAGCCCACUGUCUUCCGCUUAAAAAUAUGUGUGAGAUGUUGUGUUUAAGACACCCUCAAGGAGAAACAUAGAGGGGAGACCUGGAAAUGGUCUUGGGAAUCCACUUAGACUUUCCAUAUUAUAUUUGUUUCAUUUAUUUUAAAAUCUCAGACCUAUUUAUGUGCAUUAGGACAUUCCACAUUUUUACAACUGCGCAGAGGAAAUCUUUGGUUGUAGAGGACGGGAAGAGAGAGGCCAGGUCCGCAGACCCCACUGUGACAAGACAGUGGCUACAUUCUUAACUGUUUUACACAUUGUGAUACCCAAAGACUUCUUUUCACAGGAUUCUACUGAGGGGGAAAACAAGAGGAAGAAAGAAAGAUAGACAAGGUUUUCCUCAAGGCAGUAAGCAAAAAGCUGGUUUCUCAGAAGAAAGAAUUAUGUCUGAGAUUUUACCCAGGACUCUCCAGAUCUCUCAUUCUACACAGAAGGACCCUUUCAUUUGGAACGUGCAGAAACUGAGGAGGACCAUCUCUCUCCUCCAUGGGGGCUGCCUGAGUUAAAAAGGCCUGGGUCCAUCUUUUUUCCGUAGGAGAGCUGACUUCAGAGUCUAGAGCCAAAUCUUCACUUCUGUGGCUCUAGAUUGAGGAUUUGCCCUUCUGAUCUCUGUGGGGCUUUUUUUUUUUAACCUGGGAAUUCCCCUGGGCUCUUCGGCUGUUAUUCUCAUCAACCCCUCUCUAUAUUCUGCAAGACAUUGAAAUCUUUCUCCCAGCUUGGCCCCCACCUCCAAUCCCAGUAUUCUCUUUUCUGAGAUUGGAGUAUUUCCAACCCCUCAGUUGCCAGGCACUGAAGGUUUUCAUCUUCCAGGCCUGCCAUGUUUACCUCUGAGAUGUUUCUGGCAACUGUCCACUUCUCUGCAUUCUCACACUGCUGCUCUUGAUAAGCUUCGAUUAUCUGGGGCUGAAUUGUUUCAAUAAUUUCCUAACUGAUUUUCUUGCCUCCUAUCUGUCCCCACCACCAACAUAGACUUAAGAAUGUCACUCUCUUGACAAAACAAGCCAACAUCCUCUAUCCUCUGUCCCACUCCCAAACCUGCAGUAACUUUCCUGUGCAAUUGUAAUACAGUGUAAACUUUCAUAAGGAUGGGGAGUGGCCAAGAUGGCUGACCAGAAGCAGGUAAUGUACAUGGCUCUCACGGAGAGGAACAGAAGGGACGAGUAGAUACAACACCUUCAACUGAAACAUCCGGGUACUCGCAUUGGGAUUAAUCAAGGAAACAACCUGACCCACAGAGAACAAGGAAAAGCAAGACAGGACAACAGCCCACCUGGGAGCAACAGGGAACCAGGGGAUCUUCCCCUGCCCAGGGAAGUGGUGGGACCUCCCAACCAGGGUCUUCAGCCACUUCCUACAGGUGCCUUUGGGCCAGCAACAGGUCCAUACCUCCCUGGGACAAAGCUCCCAGGGGGAGGGACAGGCUGCCAUAUUUGCUGUAUCAUAACCUUCACUGGUGACACCUCCAAGUUCUGGAAAAUCUGAGGUGACUAGGGACUGGAGCAGGCCCUAAGCAUACCAGAGCAGCCCUGUAGAAAAGUGGCCAGACUGUUUCAUGGGUGCCUAUUCCCAUAUCUCCUCACUGGCAGGUCCUCCAGGCCUCGGCCUCCAGCCACUCCCCACCAGAGCUAUCCAGCCAAUACCAACUCAGCGACUUCCAGGACAGUGCCUCCAGGGGCAAUUGAAAGGGUCUUAGCCACUGCCUCUGCUGUGGAACUCCCCUUGCCACCCUUGGACUAAAGAAGGAGCAAAGACCCUAAGUGCCUUUUCCAUACCAACAAGCUGCAGUAGACCCAAGGAAAGGAGACCAGUCCAUCUCCCAUGUGUUCCACACUGCUCACUGGACAGGCAACCCCUGGCUUGGGUCCAAAGCACGAACCCUCCUUCUUGGGCUGAUUGCACUGAGCAAUUGGUAACCUGCAUUUUUCUGGGGGUAGAGCCCCCAGGAGUCAAGCAAAUGACUCUCGGCCACAGCACCUACUAAGAUGAGCCUCUGCUACUUCUAAGCUGGGGAAGGAACAUAAACACAGAUCACUCCAGAGCUGCAGUGGGCAGUCCAGGGGUGCUAAGUCGUGAACUACAGCCAGCACUCAAGGGGGAGAGGAACCCACACUUUCGGAGCACUGAGAGGGAACACAGCUGCAACUGUGAAGAAACAUACAGGAGCAGGAGUCUACCAAUUGACCAAUAAGCCUAAGUGUCACCUGCAGGAUCACACCCCAAAGCUUCAACACGAAAAAUAUUUCACUAACAUACACACCUCUGAAACCAGAGACAAGAAGUCAGCUUCAAAUAAAGACCCUAUAGAAAGCCUCAGCACAGUGAAAACAUCCAAAAAAGAAGUCUGUUGACUGUAGUCAAUCUACGUUGCAGUCAAAUGAACACCCACACACAGAGAUGAGAAAGAACCAAUGCAAGAACUCUGGUUACUCAAAUGGCCAGAGUAUCAUACGUCCUCCAAACGAUCACACCAGUUCUCCAGCAAGAGUUCUUAACCAGGCUGAACUGGCUGGAAUAACAGAAAUAGAAUGCAAAAUAUGGAUAGGAACAAAGAGAUCAUCAAGAUUCAGGAAGAUGGCAAAACCCAAUCCAAGGAAAAUAAGAAUUACAAUAAAGUAAUACAGGUGCUGAAGGAUGAAAUAGCCAGUAUGAAAAAGAACCUAAUUGGUCUGACAGAGCUGAAUAACACAAUACAAGAAUUUCACAAUGUGGGCCAGGUGCAGUGGCUCACGCCUGUAAUCCCAGCAUUUUGGGAGGCUGAGGUGGGCAGAUCACCUGAGGUCAGGAGUUCGAGACCAGACUGGCUAAUAUGGUGAAACCCCAUCCCUACUAAAAAUACAAAAAUUAACCAGGUGUGGUGGUGAGAGGUGACAGCAUGCUGGCAACCCUCACAGCCCUCGCUCGCUCUCGGAGCCUCCUCGGCCUUGGUUCCCACUCUGGCUGUGCUUGAGGAGCCCUUCAGCCUGCCGCUGCACUGUGGGAGCCCCUUUCUGGACUGGCCAAGGCCAGAGCCAGCUCCCUCAGCUUGCGGGGAGGUGUGGAGGGAGAGGCACAGGCGGGAACUGGGGCUGGCCCCCAUGGCACUUGCGUGCCAGCGCAAGUUCCAGGUGGGCGUGGGCUCUGCAGCCCCGCACUCGGAGCAGCCAGCCGGCCGGCCCCACUGGCCCCAGGCAGUGAGGGGCUCAGCACCUGAGCCAGCAGCUGCUGUGCUCAAUUUCUCACCAGGCCUUAGCUGCCCCACCGCAGGGCAGGGCUCAGGACCUGCAGCCUGCCAUGCCUGAGCCUUCCCCCCGCCCACCCCUGCCGUGGGCUGCUCAGUGAGCGCCACCCCCUGCUCCACGACACCCAGUCCCAUUGACCGCCCAAGGGCUGAGGAGUGCGGGCACACAGCACAGGACUGGCAGGCAGCUCCACCUGUGGCCCCAGUGUGGGAUCCACUGGGUGAAGCCAGCUGGGCUCCUGAGUCUGGUGGGGUCUUGGAGCAUCUUUAUGUCUAGCUAAGGGAUUGUAAAUACACCAAUCAGCACUCUGUAUCUAGCUCAAGGUUUGUAAACACACCAAUCAGCACCCUGUGUCUAGCUCAAGCUUUGUGAAUGCACCAGUCGGCACUCUGUAUCUAGCUAAUCUGGUGGGGACUUGGAGAAUCUUUAUGUCUAGCUAAGGGAUUGUGAAUGCACCAGUCGGCAUUCUGUAUCUAGCUCAAGGUUUGUAAAUGCACCAAUCAGCACUCUGUGUCUAGCUCAGCGUUUGUAAAUACACCAAUCAACACUCUGUAUCUAGCUGACCUAGUGGGGACAUGGAGAACUUUUGUGUCUAGCUCAGGGAUUGUAAACGCACCAAUCAGCACCCUGUCAAAACGGACCAAUCAGCUGUCUGUAAAAUGGACCAAUUGGCUCUCUGUAAAAUGGACCAAUCAGCAGGAUGUGGGUGGGGCCAGAUAAGGGAAUAAAAGCAGGCUGCCCGAGCCAGCAGUGGCAAUCCACUCGCGUCCCCUUCCGCACUGUGGAAGCUUUGUUCUUUCGCUCAUUGCAAUAAAUCUUGCUGGUGCUCA